rnacentral:rRNA from 1 species
AGAGUUUGAUCGUGGCUCAGGACGAACGCUGGCGGCGCGCCUAACACAUGCAAGUCGAACGGAAUGCGGCUUGAUUCUUUCGGGAUGAAGGUUGUAUUUAGUGGCGAACGGGUGAGUAACGCGUGAGUAACCUGCCUCAGAGUGGGGGACAACAGUUGGAAACGACUGCUAAUACCGCAUAAGACCACGAUCCCGCAUGGGAUAGUGGUAAAAGGAUUUAUUCGCUUUGAGAUGGACUCGCGUCCAAUUAGCUGGUUGGUGAGGUAACGGCCCACCAAGGCGACGAUUGGUAGCCGGACUGAGAGGUUGAACGGCCACAUUGGGACUGAGACACGGCCCAGACUCCUACGGGAGGCAGCAGUGGGGGAUAUUGCACAAUGGGGGAAACCCUGAUGCAGCGACGCCGCGUGGA